rnacentral:lncRNA from 1 species
GAAAAGGGGGUGCGGAAUGGUAAAAUGGUUAUUGGGCUGCUAGAGGAGCCCAUUGUUGUUUUUGGUACAGCCAGCUAAUGUCCAAAAAUGGGGGUAUGCGAAUUAAAAACAGGAAUGGGCUACCUGAGCCCAAACAACAUUCAAGCGCUGAAAAAAAGGGGUGUACAUUGGAAUUGUGAGGUGAAGCCAGUGAAAAUGAC